rnacentral:rRNA from 1 species
AACGAACGCUGGCGGCAGGCUUAACACAUGCAAGUCGAGCGCCCCGCAAGGGGAGCGGCAGACGGGUGAGUAACGCGUGGGAAUCUACCCAUCUCUACGGAAUAACGCAUGGAAACGUGUGCUAAUACCGUAUACGUCCUUCGGGAGAAAGAUUUAUCGGCGAUGGAUGAGCCCGCGUUGGAUUAGCUAGUUGGUGGGGUAAAGGCCUACCAAGGCGACGAUCCAUAGCUGGUCUGAGAGGAUGAUCAGCCACACUGGGACUGAGACACGGCCCAGACUCCUACGGGAGGCAGCAGUGGGGAAUAUUGGACAAUGGGCGCAAGCCUGAUCCAGCCAUGCCGCGUGAGUGAUGAAGGCCAUAGGGUUGUAAAGCUCUUUCACCGGUGAAGAUAAUGACGGUAACCGGAGAAGAAGCCCCGGCUAACUUCGUGCCAGCAGCCGCAGUAAUAC